AAGGUAAGAUCUGUUGAUAAAACGGCCUCCAAGUACUGAUUCUACCCAGAAAAGGAUCUUUGAUAUGUUAGUCAUUAGCAUGUCUUUAAUUAGUUCUGGCUACCAUAACUUUAAAUGUCGCUUUUUAUGAUUUUUGACUGGCGCGACUUUGUCAAUACUAUAUAUACUGUACGCUGAAGUUUCUUUAGCUAGUCUUUAAUUUGGUCGUGAUUGAAUCUUGUGAUCGCCAUGGCGUAGUUGAAGCGGUGUCAGCAUAGCAACCGGGAGGUCAUGGAAUCCAGCCCCACUGUUCGAGCAUUCUUUUGAUCUCUCCGGAAAACAUCAAGUUCUGGAGGCCGUUUUAUCAACAGAUCUUAGCGUAAAACCACUCUUAGCGUUCGUAAACCUUCAUAAUCAUGGCGGCCGCACGCGACUUAGACGUUGGUCAACCAAGAGAGAUGAGAAUGUUUCGAGAAAGAAAGGAUUUAGCGAUCUCCGUGAUGGAGAAAUAUUGAUACUAUUGGACGUAUUUAUGUUUGAUAACGUUAAAUAUAUUCGUUAUAUCAUUCUCUGCAUUAAACGUCCAACAACAACAACGUCCAUGGGAAAUGAAAUUUGUGAUGUUAGGAUAAUUAAUUCGUUAAAUAGGUUCAUUGAGAUUGCGUCAAAAUGGUUUGGGUCAACACACACGACGCCUCUGUCUUUGUCCGUGGUUUGAAGACUUUUCUGGAAGAAAACCACACGGGACACCUACUGGGGAACUCCGGCUAAUAACAAUAGGUACAACAAUGACCAGUCAAGUGUAUUGUGGUUGAGAGGGCUUUUGGACUGCCAAAGAGUAGAUUUAGGUGUCUACAUAAAACUGGCGGUUAUUUAUUCAUGAGACUCGAUGAGUGCUGUCAAGCAGUGGCUGCAUGAAUGCGCCUGCACAACUUAUGCAUAGAUUAGCAGGUGCAACUGCCUGAACAACUUACUGAGGCACAGGAAGUGGAUGACGUUGUGCACAGUCCACAACAAGACUAAUAUGCAGCUUAUAUGGACAACACAUCGUUAACUUAUUUAUGUAGUUGCUGUUUUAUGCUAACAUGUGCACGAAGUGCUAUAGGUGAGUCAUUGUGGUCUGUCUAUGUUUGGCGACAUGUGUUAAUAUUCAAUAUUUGACUCUUUGUUGAUGAAAGAUGGUCAUAAUGUUUCUGCUAAUGAUACAUAAUAACUUAAUAAGUUAAUGAUUUCUUGUCUAUGAGCUGCUUCAUUUCGGUCAAGUGUUAUCAACAUCUUUGUAAAAGUGUGGAUAU